AUUAGCGAUAUGCAACAGCAGUUACACAGUGUCUUGGACUUAUUUUUGCCAGACAUUUUCGAAUGCAGUUGCCAGAUGAAAACCCAGUUGAGAUUUUCGCUAACAAUGCUCCGUAAAACACAGUUUUGGACAUCGUUUGAUAGUAGACCUCAACACAGUCUCUCAG
ensembl:snoRNA snoRNA:lola-a